rnacentral:rRNA from 1 species
GACGUGUACCUGAAGAAUAAGCAUCGGCUAACUCCGUGCCAGCAGCCGCGGUAAGACGGAGGAUGCAAGUGUUAUCCGGAAUCACUGGGCGUAAAGCGUCUGUAGGUGGUUCAAUAAGUCAACUGUUAAAUCUUGAGGCUCAACCUCAAAAUCGCAGUCGAAACUAUUAGACUAGAGUAUAGUAGGGGUAAAGGGAAUUUCCAGUGGAGCGGUGAAAUGCGUAGAUAUUGGAAAGAACACCGAUGGCGAAGGCACUUUACUGGGCUAUUACUGACACUCAGAGACGAAAGCUAGGGUAGCAAAUGGGAUUAGAUACCCCAGUAGUCCUAGC